rnacentral:tRNA from 1 species
AGGGAUUUAGCUCAGUGGUGUGAGUACCUGCCUAGAAGGCAGGAGGUCAUGAGUUUGAUCCCUG